GGGUUGUGAGGUUAAGCGACUAAGCGUACACGGUGGAUGCCCUGGCAGUCAGAGGCGAUGAAGGACGUGCUAAUCUGCGAAAAGCGUCGGUAAGGUGAUAUGAACCGUUACAGCCGGCGAUGUCCGAAUGGGGAAACCCAGUGCAAUUCGUUGCACUAUCGUUAACUGAAUACAUAGGUUAACGAGGCGAACCGGGGGAACUGAAACAUCUAAGUACCCCGAGGAAAAGAAAUCAACCGAGAUUCCCCCAGUAGCGGCGAGCGAACGGGGAGCAGCCCAGAGUCUGAAUCAGCUUGUGUGUUAGUGGAACGGUCUGGAAAGUCCGACGGUACAGGGUGAUAGUCCCGUACACCAAAAUGCACAGGUUGUGAACUCGAAGAGUAGGGCGGGACACGUGGUAUCCUGUCUGAAUAUGGGGGGACCAUCCUCCAAGGCUAAAUACUCCUGACUGACCGAUAGUGAACCAGUACCGUGAGGGAAAGGCGAAAAGAACCCCGGCGAGGGGAGUGAAAAAGAACCUGAAACCGUGUACGUACAAGCAGUGGGAGCACCUUCGGGUGUGACUGCGUACCUUUUGUAUAAUGGGUCAGCGACUUAUAUUCUGUAGCAAGGUUAACCGUAUAGGGGAGCCGCAGGGAAACCGAGUCUUAACUGGGCGUUAAGUUGCAGGGUAUAGACCCGAAACCCGGUGAUCUAGCCAUGGGCAGGUUGAAGGUUGGGUAACACUAACUGGAGGACCGAACCGACUAAUGUUGAAAAAUUAGCGGAUGACUUGUGGCUGGGGGUGAAAGGCCAAUCAAACCGGGAGAUAGCUGGUUCUCCCCGAAAGCUAUUUAGGUAGCGCCUCGUGAAUUCAUCUUCGGGGGUAGAGCACUGUUUCGGCUAGGGGGUCAUCCCGACUUACCAACCCGAUGCAAACUACGAAUACCGAAGAAUGUUAUCACGGGAGACACACGGCGGGUGCUAACGUCCGUCGUGAAGAGGGAAACAACCCAGACCGCCAGCUAAGGUCCCAAAGUCAUGGUUAAGUGGGAAACGAUGUGGGAAGGCACAGACAGCCAGGAUGUUGGCUUAGAAGCAGCCAUCAUUUAAAGAAAGCGUAAUAGCUCACUGGUCGAGUCGGCCUGCGCGGAAGAUGUAACGGGGCUAAACCAUGCACCGAAGCUGCGGCAGCGACACUAUGUGUUGUUGGGUAGGGGAGCGUUCUGUAAGCCUGCGAAGGUGACCUGUGAGGGUUGCUGGAGGUAUCAGAAGUGCGAAUGCUGACAUAAGUAACGAUAAAGCGGGUGAAAAGCCCGCUCGCCGGAAGACCAAGGGUUCCUGUCCAACGUUAAUCGGGGCAGGGUGAGUCGACCCCUAAGGCGAGGCCGAAAGGCGUAGUCGAUGGGAAACAGGUUAAUAUUCCUGUACUUGGUGUUACUGCGAAGGGGGGACGGAGAAGGCUAUGUUAGCCGGGCGACGGUUGUCCCGGUUUAAGCAUGUAGGCGGAGGUUCCAGGUAAAUCCGGUACCUUUUUAACGCUGAGGUGUGAUGACGAGGCACUACGGUGCUGAAGUAACAAAUGCCCUGCUUCCAGGAAAAGCCUCUAAGCAUCAGGUAACAUCAAAUCGUACCCCAAACCGACACAGGUGGUCAGGUAGAGAAUACCAAGGCGCUUGAGAGAACUCGGGUGAAGGAACUAGGCAAAAUGGUGCCGUAACUUCGGGAGAAGGCACGCUGGUGUGUAGGUGAAGUCCCUGCGGACGGAGCUGAGACCAGUCGAAGAUACCAGCUGGCUGCAACUGUUUAUUAAAAACACAGCACUGUGCAAACACGAAAGUGGACGUAUACGGUGUGACGCCUGCCCGGUGCCGGAAGGUUAAUUGAUGGGGUUAUCCGUAAGGAGAAGCUCUUGAUCGAAGCCCCGGUAAACGGCGGCCGUAACUAUAACGGUCCUAAGGUAGCGAAAUUCCUUGUCGGGUAAGUUCCGACCUGCACGAAUGGCGUAAUGAUGGCCAGGCUGUCUCCACCCGAGACUCAGUGAAAUUGAACUCGCUGUGAAGAUGCAGUGUACCCGCGGCAAGACGGAAAGACCCCGUGAACCUUUACUAUAGCUUGACACUGAACAUUGAGCCUUGAUGUGUAGGAUAGGUGGGAGGCUUUGAAGCGUGGACGCCAGUCUGCGUGGAGCCAACCUUGAAAUACCACCCUUUAAUGUUUGAUGUUCUAACGU
rnacentral:rRNA from 1 species